UUCUUGGAUACGUGAACCCAUGUGAUUGGGUGGUAGGUGCCUGGACACGGUUUUAUAGUAGCUCCGCUCUCCCACCGCUCCCUCCCCUACCUUCUCUCUCUCUCUCUCUCUCUCACUCUCUCUCCCUUUCUCCCCACAUCCAGAGUUGGGAUCUGGCUUCAGUCUCGCAAUGGCAGCAAAGAUCUCCACAUUGGUGUUGAAAGUCGACCUCGAAUGCCACCUUUGCUAUAAAAAGAUUAGAAAAACUCUUUGCAAGCUCCAAGAUCGGGAGAACAUAAAAACUAUCUCCUACGAUGAGAAGAACAACACGGUCACGAUCUCUGGACCAUUUGAUCCCCAAAAGCUCUCCAAGAAGCUCCGCUGCAAGGCCUGCAAGGUGAUCAAAGACAUCCAAAUCGUAGAGGUCAAGGAAAAGCCAAAAGACCCAGCUCCCAAGGAGUCUAAGCCCGCUGAACCAGCCCCGGCCGAGAAAGAGAAACCCAAGCCGGCCAAAUCCGAACCAGAACCAAAACCAAAACCAAAAGCCGACCCACCGAAAGCUGAACCGGCACCGAAAGCUGAACCGGCAGCGAAGCCCAAAUCCGACCCACCAGCUCCAAAACCAGACCCUCCAAAGACCGAGCCUGCGCCGCCAAAGGUUGAACCAGACCCACCCAAGCCUCAACCGGUAGCAGUGGGUCAGGGCCCGGCCCCACCGGUCUGGCCGGCUUGUUGCGGUAUGGCAUACUAUGAUGGGUAUUAUGGGGGAUGCCGGUGUUGCUCAUGCGGAAGGGUCAUUGGAUGGGUUGCCAAUGCUCCACCUAUGGCCUAUGGCGGACCAUCCCAUGGGUGCAAGCCAUACCAAUUCUUCUGCGAAGAGGAUCCAUCAACAUCAUGUACCAUCAUGUGAUCAUGUUCCCAUUUCCAUGUUUAUUAUAUAAUAAUUUUAUUUCUUGUCUUUUUGGGUGAAUAACAAUAAGGUGGGCGAUGUGCGAUAGGUGAGAGCUGUCUGUUUUGGAAAUCUAGUGUUGGUAUUAUCAACAAAUAAAUAAAUAAUAGUAUGAGGAUAUUUGUAUUUCUUGUUGAUUUUGUGUUGAUGAACGAUGAAUUUGGAGGCUUAUCAGAUACUUGGCAGGGUUUUCCGGGUGGUGGGACUGGGGAAACCGCGUAUAACGGGGAAGAUAUGGUCACAUUGGUCUGGGUUGGUAGGAGAUGGGCCAUGAACCCUUUUUGGGUAGGAUAUGGUCUUCUCAUUAGGGCAGGUAGGGAUUGGUACUUGUUGUAAGGACUCCAAUUUGUCGACCCACAAGUUCUGACGCAUUCAGCAUUGUUGUUUAUGUUUUCUUUUAUUGGUAGUGGCCUAUCAGUUGUAAAAUUCAUGGCCAUCCAUGUUGUACCCAUCACAUGAUUCUAUAGUUUGUAAUAAUUUAAACUUGUGAGUUUGGAUUCUCUCUAGUUCAAGGAAUGGGCUCCGCAUGAUGCA